UAUCUUGUGUAUCAGUGAGGGAAAGUGAGAUUGCAAAGAUCAUCAACGCUGUAAUCCCAUAGCCAUGGAAGAAACUAGAAACCCUAAGGCCAAGGGGAAAGGUCCCACUUCAAGUGCCACUCCUUCGAGAGAACCUUCCUUCAAGAACUACGGAUCAGGGCAACAAAAUUUCCAAGAUUCACAGAUUAAAAGCGACUCAUGUUCAUGUGUUCUAAGCAGAAAUGGGUCUGGUGAAGUGGUUUACCACGUUGGAGCUGGCCAAAAGUUCGAGAAUUCAAAGAUAAACGGUGUUAAAGUGGAAUCGGAGACCACAUCAUAUUCUGGAUCAAACACCACAAGCAGUGAGAUCUAUUGCACUACUUGUGGAUCCUUCAUCAACCAUGGAACUGGAUCCCAGAAUUUCGAAGGUUCCGUGAUUAAUAUCGGUUGAAAGUAACCUAUGACCACAGUGAGCUGUGUCGGGAGAGCAGGUUGGCAAGAGGGCGAAUGAUGUUCUGAUGUCUGUGUUUUCGUACUUUGUGUUUGGUGUUUGUUUGUGUUAAAUUUUUCUAAUGACCUAGAGACCCAAACUUUUAUGCCUUUCCUUUUUAUCAACAACUCAUAUCUUGUAAAACUUUUAUGCUCUAAAUAACAUAUAUGAUGUACUUGGAUUUCCUUUUAUCUGAUUUGUCUUUUAAA